GAGGGUUUUACAAGAGUCAAUAUGGGUUGAACUACCAAGUUUUAUCAUUAACAAUGAUCAAUGGAGGGUUUUCUUUUAGGUUGACAAAGAAAAAAAUCAUAUCAUUCUAACCGGCAGUGUUGUAACUACCGAUCCAUACUCCGAUAGUCAUUUUAUGAACUUCACAUCGUUUGACGUGUUAUCAAUGAAAACUUUGAUAAAAUGUGCUAUGUUGGUAGUCCAUUAUACAUAUUUCUCACUUUUAAGUACAUCAAAUAGGAUCUUUCUUUUUAAUUUGAUUUAAAAUGUUGUUCCAGAUUUGCUUGGUCUUCUUCAUUUUGUUGGUGAACUUCAACCAUACGAAUAUGAAAUUUAUCCUCUUGAAAAAUUCGGACCGAAACAUUAUCUUAAAUCCAUUAUAAUAGAGUGCAAAUAAGAUAUUAAAAUUAUAGUUUAAAUUAUGUAUAAGUUGAAUUUAUGUUUAAUAAAAAAAAAUAGUGGCUUGAUGUUAAAUAGGGUAGUUUAUAAGAAAUUGGCGCAAAAUUUUUAUAACGGAUGGACUUCAUCUUCUGAAAAGAACAUUUUAUGUGUCUCGACCGAUUGGAAAUUAACUAUCAACUCAUGUAAUUAUGAUUGCAUUUUAUAAUUA
rnacentral:lncRNA from 1 species